rnacentral:rRNA from 1 species
AUUGAACGCUAACGGCGUGCUUAACACAUGCAAGUCGAGCGGCAGCAUGACUGUAGCAAUACAGUUGAUGGCGAGCGGCGGACGGGUGAGUAAUGCAUAGGAAUCUGCCUUGUAGUGGGGGAUAACCCGGGGAAACUCGGGCUAAUACCGCAUAAUCUCUACGGAGCAAAGUGGGGGACCUUCGGGCCCUACGCUGAAAGAUGAGCCUAUGUUGGAUUAGCUAGUUGGUAGGGUAAAGGCCUACCAAGGCAACGAUCCAUAGCUGGUCUGAGAGGAUGAUCAGCCACACUGGGACUGAGACACGGCCCAGACUCCUACGGGAGGCAGCAGUGGGGAAUAUUGGACAAUGGGCGAAAGCCUGAUCCAGCAACGCCGUGUGUGUGAAGAAGGCCUUCGGGUUGUAAAGCACUUUUAGUGGGGAAGAAAAGUUCAUGGCUAAUAUCCAUGAAUGCUGACGUUACCCACAGAAAAAGCACUGGCUAACUCUGUGCCAGCCGCCGCAGUAA